rnacentral:rRNA from 4 species
AAAUUGAAGAGUUUGAUCAUGGCUCAGAUUGAACGCUGGCGGCAGGCCUAACACAUGCAAGUCGAACGGUAGCACAGAGAGCUUGCUCUCGGGUGACGAGUGGCGGACGGGUGAGUAAUGUCUGGGAAACUGCCUGAUGGAGGGGGAUAACUACUGGAAACGGUGGCUAAUACCGCAUAACGUCGCAAGACCAAAGAGGGGGACCUUCGG